CGCAGCCUCUGAAUUUGGACACCCCCGGCCUGUUUCUGGCCGGACAAUAAUAACGGUGACAUUUAACUUAUUUUAUCCGAUAAAUAAACAUUGUAAAAUUCAAGUUUUACAAUGCCUAACAGCCCUUUUGAUUGUCUCCCUAAUUCUGAGGUCUCAAGGUUGGCAAGUAUGUGCUAGGCUUUCACCCACAUCAGUCUGUCAAUCAUCCAUGUCUGUUGCUGUAACAGUAGUUCAUGUGUGGAAUAAAAAAUCCCAGCUCACUGAUUUGAUCGGGGCAAUGGUGCCUAAAAUGUUGCAUAAUUUUGCUAAGAGAUCUUUUACUUUGUGGUAAUCUUAGAUGACAAAAACCAGCAGGUCAUUCAGUGUUCCCUUAGUGCUAAUGUGUCAGAGAUGUUGGUGUAUUAUAACUAAAAUAAUGUUGUUAAGUCCUUAAAGUCAUAUUCUUUUAUUGUCAUGACUGUAUUUGAAGCUAUUUUUAUUUUUGUAUGAUACCUGAUUUAUAUGGAAUAUGGCUGAAGUAAACUAAAGUCUAAAAUACUUAGUCAUUUGUUUAAUAGUAAUUUAACAUUAUAUAAUUCACAUAUAAAACUAUGAAUUAUUAUUUUGAAUGGUUUAAAAGCAUGUAGAAUAGCAUAUUUAGGCAAGUAUAUUUCUCCUUUUGUUAUCAAGAAGCAAAGACAAAAAGGAAAAAAAAAAGAAGAAGAAAGAAACAGGGCAGGGUUCUGUGGCUGAAUCAUCCGUCCCCACCAAUGCCAAAACCAAAUCUACGCCCUUGCGUGGUCAUGUGACCUGGUAUUUUGAACCAAGCUUCGGAGCAGUGUUUUAAACAUCCCAGUAAACAGGUGUGUUUACAGGUUGUAACUGCAGAAGCCUCCUAUUGGCCAGUUUGCUUGCAAAUUGACUCCAUUUGAUCGAAGCUGGCGUUUCCCCCUCAGGAAGUUCAACUGGCUGCCAAUUUAUACAAGCGUAGCUAUCAACAAGGCAUCUAACUUUUUUAGUGGUUGGAGUGGUUUCCACACCUAAUCGAAUCAGUUUGGAUCACUUUGCUUCACCUGAACACCCUGACAGUAUUUACACACUGCUGUCUGACUGCAUUCAGCUGACACUGAGAUGAAGCAGAAAAGAAGCAGCUGGUGAAGGUAGAAAGUGUGUGUGAGCUGAUGUGGAUGUGAAUUCAGCAGCAUGGAUCAGUGUGAGGACAGAGAGGAGGGAGUCCCUCCCUCUAAAACCACUCUGUGUGGGGAACAUGAGAGCCAGACCAAAGCUCAGAGUUCAGAGCAGCGGUACGCACUGUAUUCUGCCAGACCUGGGCCCAGCUGCAGAUCCCUAACGACUGACUUGUACUUGGAGUUACACGUGUUUUUUACUCGAAAGCGUCUCCCUUCCAGUUGGUCCUCCUCACUGUUUUGUGGAGUGAAUCAAGCACAAGACUGUACUAAACUUGAACCUGAAUCUAAACAUGAACUGAUGCCUGAAACAACAAGCAUACCUGAACAAGAAGCCUCUGCGACUUCAAAUCUUCAGAUCCUCGGUUGUAAACAUGUCAUGGAUCAGGAUCAGGCUGGGCCCCGGCAGAUGAUCUGUCCAGUGUUGAACAGCAGUGCUGUAAAAAAGACAGACGGGCUUUUAAAGGAAUGGUUGUGGGAAACUCUGGAGACUUUGGGAACUGAGGAGCUGAAAAACUUCAAGUGGUGUCUGCAAAAUGUUACUGAGUCAAAGGAUGGCUUCAAGCCAAUCAAAAAGAGUCGACUGGAGAACGCAGACAGACUGGACACAGUGGACCUGAUGGUGCAGAUGUACGAUACAAAGACUGCAGAGGUGACGAAGAAGAUUUUAAGGAAGAUCAAAAGGAAUGAAGGACAACCCUUUCCCCAAAUUCUGCUGCAGGAUCAACCAGCUAAUGCCACAGGUAUGUGUUCAUUAUGGUACUAAGUCAUACUACACUAAGACUGAUAAUAUAAGUGUAAUAUUUAAGGGGGGAGACCAAAUAGCUGCCAGUCUGAUUUAAUCUAAACCUUUCUCAUCUUUCCACAAUUCACUAACUUUCAUCUGUGUGAAAAGGUGAGAAAGUCUGCCCAAAAAGGAAAUCUACUUCUUCUCUCUAUAACUCAGUUUGAUAUUUAACUGCAAGAAGCAUUCAACUCCAGUCAAACAGAUCUUUAGUUAAUCUGCUAUAUGAGGUGGACAAUUUCUCAGUUUCCUAGACUUCCAAAAGUAACGUAUUUUUAGGACUACACAUAUAUAUAUAUAUAUAAACACCCAGCGCGCCCCUGCGGGCGGUUUAUCCUUCAAGCUCGGGUCCUCUACCAGAGGCCUGGGAGCUUGAGGGUCCUGCGCAGUAUCUUAGCUGUUCCCAGGACUGCGCUCUUCUGGACAGAGAUCUCCGAUGUUGUUCCCGGGAUCUGCUGGAGCCACUCGCCUAGCUUGGGAGUCACCGCACCUAGUGCUCCGAUUACCACGGGGACCACCGUCACCUUCACCCUCCACAUCCUCUCGAGCUCUUCUCUGAGCCCUUGGUAUUUCUCCAGCUUCUCGUGUUCCUUCUUCCUGAUAUUGCUGUCAUUCGGAACCGCUACAUCGAUCACUACGGCCGUCUUCUUCUGUUUGUCUACCACCACUAUGUCCGGUUGGUUAGCCACCACCAUUUUGUCCGUCUGCAUCUGGAAGUCCCACAGGAUCUUAGCUCGGUCAUUCUCCACCACCCUUGGGGGCAUCUCCCAUUUUGACCUCGGG
ensembl:lncRNA